rnacentral:rRNA from 1 species
UUCCAGACUCCUACGGGAGGCAGCAGUGAGGAAUAUUGGUCAAUGGACGAGAGUCUGAACCAGCCAAGUAGCGUGAAGGAUGACUGCCCUAUGGGUUGUAAACUUCUUUUAUAUGGGAAUAAAAUGUUCCACGUGUGGGAUUUUGUAUGUACCAUAUGAAUAAGGAUCGGCUAACUCCGUGCCAGCAGCCGCGGUAAUACGGAGGAUGCGAGCGUUAUCCGGAUUUAUUGGGUUUAAAGGGUGCGUAGGCGGAGUGUCAAGUCAGCGGUAAAAUUUCGGGGCUCAACCCCGUCGUGCCGUUGAAACUGACACCCUUGAGUGAGUGAGAAGUAAGCGGAAUGCGUGGUGUAGCGGUGAAAUGCUUAGAUAUCACGAAGAACUCCGAUUGCGAAGGCAGCUCACUGGACUGCAACUGACACUGAGGCUCGAAAGUGUGGGUAUCAAACAGGAUUAGAUACCCGAGUA